UACGUAGGGCGCAAGCGUUGUCCGGAAUUAUUGGGCGUAAAGAGCUCGUAGGCGGUUUGUUGCGUCGGCUGUGAAAUCCCGAGGCUCAACCUCGGGUCUGCAGUCGAUACGAGCAAACUAGAGUGUUGCAGGGGAGACUGGAAUUCCUGGUGUAGCGGUGAAAUGCGCAGAUAUCAGGAGGAACACCGGUGGCGAGGGCGGGUCUCUGGGCAACAACUGACGCUGGAGGAGCGAAAGCGUGGGGAGCGAACAGG
rnacentral:rRNA from 1 species